rnacentral:rRNA from 1 species
GUGCCAGCCGCCGCGGUAAUACGGAGGGUGCAAGCGUUAAUCGGAAUUACUGGGCGUAAAGCGCACGUAGGCGGUUUUCUAAGUCAGAUGUGAAAUCCCCGGGCUUAACCUGGGAACUGCACCUGAUACUGGAAGACUAGAAUGUGGGAGAGGAGAGUGGAAUUUCCGGUGUAGCGGUGAAAUGCAUAGAGAUCGGAAGGAACACCAGUGGCGAAGGCGGCUCUCUGGACCAACAUUGACGCUGAGGUGCGAAAGCGUGGGUAGCAAACAGGAUUAGAUACCCUGGUAGUCCACGCCGUAAACGAUGUCAACUAGCCGCUAGUCUCGCUUUAGAGAUUGGUGGUGCAGCUAACGCAUUAAGUUGACCGCCUGGGGAGUACGGCCGCAAGGUUGAAACUCAAAUGAAUUGACGG